rnacentral:rRNA from 1 species
CCUGGCUCAGAUUGAACGCUGGCGGCAUGCCUAACACAUGCAAGUCGAACGGCAACACGGUCUAGCUUGCUAGACUGGUGGCGAGUGGCGAACGGGUGAGUAACGCGUAGGAAUAUACCUUAAAGAGUGGGACAACUUGGGGAAACUCAAGCUAAUACCGCAUACUAUCUGAGGAUAAAAGCUGGGGACCUUCGGGCCUGGCGCUUUAAGAUUAGCCU